CCAAUAGCGUAUAUUAAAGUUGUUGCAGUUAAAAAGCUCGUAGUUGAAUUUCGGGAUUGACACAUCGGUCGUGCCUUAAGGGGUAUGAACUGGUGUAGUCAAUUUCUCACCUUCUGGAGAACCGCGAUGCCCUUAAUUGGGUGUCACGGGGAACCAGGACCUUUACUUUGAAAAAAUUAGAGUGUUUAAAGCAGGCAUUUUGCUUGAAUACAUUAGCAUGGAAUAAUAAAAUAGGACGGCAUGAUUCUAUUUUGUUGGUUUCUAGGAUCACCGUAAUGAUUAAUAGGGAUAGUUGGGGGCAUUAGUAUUCAAUUGUCAGAGGUGAAAUUCUUGGAUUUAUUGAAGACUAACUACUGCGAAAGCAUUUGCCAAGGAUGUUUUCAUUAAUCAAGAACGAAAGUUAGGGGAUCGAAGACGAUCAGAUACCGUCGUAGUCUUAACCAUAAACUAUGCCGACUAGGAAUCAGACGAUGUUAAUUUUUUAAUGACUCGUUUGGCACCUUAUG
rnacentral:misc_RNA from 1 species